rnacentral:lncRNA from 1 species
GAGAACUGUAAAUACCAAGCCUUGAAAGGGACCAUGGUGCGGCCUGUGAGACAUAAGAAACCAGUCAAUUACUCACAGUUUGACCACUCUGACAGUGAUGAUGAUUUUGUUUCUGCAACUGUACCUUUAAACAAGAAAUCCAGAACAGCACCAAAGGAGUUAAAACAAGAUAAACCAAAACCUAACUUGAACAAUCUCCGGAAAGAAGAAAUCCCAGUACAAGAGAAAACCCCUAAAAAAAGCCAUAGAAAGAAAUGACAACUGAUAACUGAUAUAUACUGCAAUAUGGAUGAACCUUGGAAACAUCAUUCUGAGUGAAAGAAGCCAGAUAUACAGACUCCCUGAAGGUACUUUUAGUAUUCCAGCUAGUGCAGUGCCUUGUACAAAGAUGGCUUUAGAUGACAAGCUCUACCAGAGAGACUUAGAAGUUGCACUAGCUUUAUCAGUGAAGGAACUUCCAACAGUCACCACUAAUGUGCAGAACUCUCAAGAUAAAAGCAUUGAAAAACAUGGCAGUAGUAAAAUAGAAACAAUGAAUAAGUCUCCUCAUAUCUCUAAUUGCAGUGUAGCCAGUGAUUAUU